rnacentral:rRNA from 1 species
ACACGUAGGGGGCGAGCGUUGUUCGGAAUCAUUGGGCGUAAAGGGCGUGCAGGCGGUCCUGCAAGUCCGGCGUGAAAGACCCCGGCCCAACCGGGGGGACGCGCUGGAAACUGCAGGGCUUGAGUACAGGAGGGGAUGCCGGAAUUCCAGGUGUAGGGGGGAAAUCUGUAGAUAUCUGGAAGAACACCAAUGGCGAAGGCAGGCAUCUGGCCAUGUACUGACGCUGAGACGCGAAGGUGCGGGGAGCAAACAGGUUUAGAUACCCUGGUAGUCCGCACAGUAAACGAUGUGCACCAGGUGGCGGGGGGUCGACCCCCGGUACCGUAGCUAACGCAUUAAGUGCACCGCCUGGGGAGUAUGCUCGCAAGGGUGAAACUCAAAGGAAUUGACGGGG